GAUGAACGCUGGCGGCGUGCCUAAUACAUGCAAGUCGAGCGAACGGACGAGAAGCUUGCUUCUCUGAUGUUAGCGGCGGACGGGUGAGUAACACGUGGAUAACCUACCUAUAAGACUGGGAUAACUUCGGGAAACCGUAGCUAAUACCGGAUAAUAUUUUGAACCGCAUGGUUCAAAAGUGAAAGACGGUCUUGCUGUCACUUAUAGAUGGAUCCGCGCUGCAUUAGCUAGUUGGUAAGGUAACGGCUUACCAAGGCAACGAUGCAUAGCCGACCUGAGAGGGUGAUCGGCCACACUGGAACUGAGACACGGUCCAGACUCCUACGGGAGGCAGCAGUAGGGAAUCUUCCGCAAUGGGCGAAAGCCUGGCGGAGCAACGCCGCGUGAGUGAUGAAGGUCUUCGGAUCGUAAAACUCUGUUAUUAGGGAAGAACAUAUGUGUAAGUAACUGUGCACAUCUUGACGGUACCUAAUCAGAAAGCCACGGCUAACUACGUGCCAGCAGCCGCGGUAAUACGUAGGUGGCAAGCGUUAUCCGGAAUUAUUGGGCGUAAAGCGCGCGUAGGCGGUUUUUUAAGUCUGAUGUGAAAGCCCACGGCUCAACCGUGGAGGGUCAUUGGAAACUGGAAAACUUGAGUGCAGAAGAGGAAAGUGGAAUUCCAUGUGUAGCGGUGAAAUGCGCAGAGAUAUGGAGGAACACCAGUGGCGAAGGCGACUUUCUGGUCUGUAACUGACGCUGAUGUGCGAAAGCGUGGGGAUCAAACAGGAUUAGAUACCCUGGUAGUCCACGCCGUAAACGAUGAGUGCUAAGUGUUAGGGGGUUUCCGCCCCUUAGUGCUGCAGCUAACGCAUUAAGCACUCCGCCUGGGGAGUACGACCGCAAGGUUGAAACUCAAAGGAAUUGACGGGGACCCGCACAAGCGGUGGAGCAUGUGGUUUAAUUCGAAGCAACGCGAAGAACCUUACCAAAUCUUGACAUCCUUUGACAACUCUAGAGAUAGAGCCUUCCCCUUCGGGGGACAAAGUGACAGGUGGUGCAUGGUUGUCGUCAGCUCGUGUCGUGAGAUGUUGGGUUAAGUCCCGCAACGAGCGCAACCCUUAAGCUUAGUUGCCAUCAUUAAGUUGGGCACUCUAAGUUGACUGCCGGUGACAAACCGGAGGAAGGUGGGGAUGACGUCAAAUCAUCAUGCCCCUUAUGAUUUGGGCUACACACGUGCUACAAUGGGCAAUACAAAGGGCAGCGAAACCGCGAGGUCAAGCAAAUCCCAUAAAGUUGUUCUCAGUUCGGAUUGUAGUCUGCAACUCGACUACAUGAAGCUGGAAUCGCUAGUAAUCGUAGAUCAGCAUGCUACGGUGAAUACGUUCCCGGGUCU
rnacentral:rRNA from 1 species